rnacentral:lncRNA from 13 species
GAUUAUAUUAUAUAUUAUAUACUAUUAUAUUAUAUAUACUAUAUUAUAUAUUAUUAUAUAUUAUUAUUUCAUAUUAUAUAUUAUUAUAUAUGAUUAUAUUAUAUAUUAUAUACUAUAUUAUAUAUUAUUAUAUAUGAUUAUAUUAUAUAUUAUAUACUAUAUUAUAUAUUAUUAUAUAUGAUUAUAUUAUAUAUUAUAUACUAUAUUAUAUAUUAUUAUAUAUGAUUAUAUUAUAUAUUAUUAUAUAUUAUUAUUAUAUUACAUUGAUCAUGAAUACACAGUACAUGGUCACAAACUUUCACCCAGGUAGAGACUAGCUGAGGAAACAUGUAAGACUCCCCAAUACGUCCACCCCAAAGCCACGACCCACAUCAAGGGUAACAAGAGAGGAGAACAGCAACGGUGGGCUAGCUGUUGGUUCCUCCGGGUGCUCCUGUCCAGCCACGGCAGCCAGCUUCACUAACAACAACUACUACACCAGAUACCGUUGUCUUUCUGUAUCUUGUGCCCAGUACAAUAACCAAGUGUAUGUCCCAAAUGGCACCCUAUUCCCUAUGUAGUGCACUACAAGGGCCCAGACACUAGUACACUAUACAUGCCCGGGUCAAAAGUAGUGCACUGUAUAUAGGGAAUAGGGUGCCUUUUCGGACGCAUGUCAGAGACUAAACACCAAACAACCUAUUUGACAUAAACCAAUAACAACAUAAAGAGUGAAACUGGUAUAUAAUCAUAAUAAUAAUAACAGUUGUAGUUCCUGUGACGAUGAAGCUGAUUCUAUACCAGAACCAGAGGUUGGGUACUUUGUCUGUGAGACUCAAUCUCUCCUUCUGAGGAGGACAGAUAACAGGGGAAAUAAAAACAAGGUAAUAUGUGAACAUCAGCUGUGUCUGAGCCUGGUCGGUUGGUUUUGAAUCAGAAGAGAAUAGAUACUGUAGUGAAUGUCCUCAAUACCAUCAUGGGGUUGUUGCGGAGCAUCCAAAAUGGCUCCAUAUUCCCUACAUAGUGUACUACUUUAGACCAGAGCCCUAUUGGCCCUCUUCAAAAGUAGUGCACUACGUAGAGAAUAGGGUGCCAUUGGGACACAGACUAGGUGUGUUGGAGACAGCUGUACAGAUGUCAGCUGGACACAGCUACUAUAGAGCUGGAUAAUGUGUUCUGUAGAGAUGGAUAAUGUGUUCUGUAGAGAUGGAUAAUGUGCUCUGUAGAGAUGGAUAAUGUGUCCUACAGAGAUGGAUAAUGUGCUCUGUAGAGAUGGAUAAUGUGUUCUGUAGAGAUGGAUAAUGUGCUCUGUAGAGAUGGAUAAUGUGUCCUAUAGAGCUGGAUAAUGUGCUCUGUAGAGAUGGAUAAUGUGCUCUGUAGAGAUGGAUAAUGUGUUCUGUAGAGAUGGAUAAUGUGCGCUGUAGAGAUGGAUAAUGUGUCCUACAGAGAUGGAUAAUGUGCUCUGUAGAGAUGGAUAAUGUGCUCUGUAGAGAUGGAUAAUGUGCUCUGUAGAGAUGCAUAAUGUGCUCUGUAGAGAUGGAUAAUGUGUUCUAUAGAGAUGGAUAAUGUGCUCUGUAGAGAUGGAUAAUGUGCUCUAUAGAGAUGCAUAAUGUGCUCUGUAGAGAUGGAUAAUGUGCUCUGUAAAGAUGGGAUAAUGUGCUCUGUAGAGAUGGGAUAAUGUGCUCUGUAGAGAUGGAUAAUGUGGUCUAUGAUUGUUAUGUACUUUUGUCUAUGCCUUCUGAUUAUUCUAAUGUCUUGCCAGAUGAAUGAUUUGUAGUGCCAACAAUGCUAACCUUUUUCCUGCCUGUAGUUAGUCUUGUGAACAAAAUGUCUAGCUAAAUGGAAAAAUACCUGAACAAAUAAAGUGGAAGGAGAAAAGAAAUACCAGGUAUAAUACCAGGUAUAAUACCAGGUAUAAUACCAGGUAUAAUACCAGGUAUAAUACCAGAGCGAAGGCAAAUGUUUGACAAAGUGUUCCAUGACAGCGUUGAAUAGUUCCACGUAUCUCCAUCAUCUGAUUGGAGGAUGACGUCAUAUAUAUCUCCAUCAUCUGAUUGGAGGAUGACGUCAUAU